rnacentral:rRNA from 1 species
GAUGAACGCUGGCGGCGUGCCUAAUACAUGCAAGUCGAGCGAACAGACGAGGAGCUUGCUCCUCUGACGUUAGCGGCGGACGGGUGAGUAACACGUGGAUAACCUACCUAUAAGACUGGGAUAACUUCGGGAAACCGGAGCUAAUACCGGAUAAUAUAUUGAACCGCAUGGUUCAAUAGUGAAAGACGGUUUUGCUGUCACUUAUAGAUGGAUCCGCGCCGCAUUAGCUAGUUGGUAAGGUAACGGCUUACCAAGGCAACGAUGCGUAGCCGACCUGAGAGGGUGAUCGGCCACACUGGAACUGAGACACGGUCCAGACUCCUACGGGAGGCAGCAGUAGGGAAUCUUCCGCAAUGGGCGAAAGCUUGACGGAGCAACGCCGCAUGAGUGAUGAAGGUCUUCGGAUCGUAAAACUCUGUUAUUAGGGAAGAACAAAUGUGUAAGUAACUAUGCACGUCUUGACGGUACCUAAUCAGAAAGCCACGGCUAACUACGUG